rnacentral:rRNA from 1 species
CGGACGGGGGAGUAACGCGUGAGCAACCUGCCGUGAAGUGGGGGAUAGCUCGCCGAAAGGCGAAUUAAUACCGCAUGUGGCCAGGAAGGACAUCCUUCCGACGCCAAAGCCGGGGCAACCUGGCGCUUCUCGAGGGGCUCGCGGCCUAUCAGCUUGUUGGUGAGGUAACGGCUCACCAAGGCUAUGACGGGUAGCUGGUCUGAGAGGACGACCAGCCACACUGGAACUGAGACACGGUCCAGACACCUACGGGUGGCAGCAGUCGAGAAUUUUUCACAAUGGGGGAAACCCUGAUGGAGCGACGCCGCGUGGAGGAUGAAGGUUUUCGGAUUGUAAACUCCUGUCAUCAGAGAACAAGGCACACGGUUUAACUGGCCGUGUGUUGAUAGUAUCUGAAGAGGAAGAGACGGCUAACUCUGUGCCAGCAGCCGCGGUAAUACAGAGGUCUCAAGCGUUGUUCGGAUUCAUUGGGCGUAAAGGGUGCGUAGGUGGCGAUGUAAGUCGGAUGUGAAAUCUCCAAGCUUAACUUGGAAACUGCAUUCGAUACUGCGUUGCUAGAGGACUGUAGAGGGCAUUGGAAUUCACGGUGUAGCAGUGAAAUGCGUAGAUAUCGUGAGGAAGACCAGUGGCGAAGGCGAAUGCCUGGGCAGUUCCUGACACUGAGGCACGAAGGCCAGGGGAGCAAACGGGAUUAGAUACCCCUGUAGUC